rnacentral:rRNA from 1 species
AGAUUAAACUGAAGAGUUUGAUCCUGGCUCAGAUUGAACGCUGGCGGCAUGCUUUACACAUGCAAGUCGAACGGUAACAGGGAGCUUGCUCCGCUGACGAGUGGCGAACGGGUGAGUAAUAUAUCGGAACGUACCCAAGAGUGGGGGAUAACGUAGCGAAAGUUACGCUAAUACCGCAUACGAUCUAAGGAUGAAAGCAGGGGACCGCAAGGCCUUGUGCUCCUGGAGCGGCCGAUAUCUGAUUAGCUAGUUGGUAGGGUAAAGGCCUACCAAGGCAUCGAUCAGUAGCUGGUCUGAGAGGACGACCAGCCACAC